rnacentral:rRNA from 1 species
AGAGUUUGAUCCUGGCUCAGAGCGAACGUUAGCGGCGCGCCUAACACAUGCAAGUCGCACGAGAAAGGGAGCAAUCCCCGGUACAGUGGCGCACGGGUGAGUAACACGUGGAUGACCUUCCCUGGAGUGGUGGAUAACCUGCCGAAAGGCGGGCUAAUACAGCAUGGGACCACACGGUUUUGGCCGAGUGGUGAAAGCGGGCCUCUGUUCACAAGCUCGCGCUCUGGGAUGGAUCUGCGGCCCAUCAGCUAGUUGGUGAGGUAAUGGCUCACCAAGGCUACGACGGGUAGCUGGUCUGAGAGGACGACCAGCCACACUGGAACUGAGACACGGUCCAGACACCUACGGGUGGCAGCAGUCGAGAAUCUUUCACAAUGGGGGCAACCCUGAUGGAGCGACGCCGCGUGGAGGAUAAGGUCUUCGGAUUGUAAACUCCUGUCAUGUGUGAACAAGGUUGCGGGGCUAAUACCUUUGCAAAUUGAUGGUAACACAAGAGGAAGAGACGGCUAACUCUGUGCCAGCAGCCGCGGUAAUACAGAGGUCUCAAGCGUUGUUCGGAAUCACUGGGCGUAAAGGGUGCGUAGGUGGCGUGGCAAGUCAGAUGUGAAAGCCCGGGGCUCAACCUCGGAAUUGCAUCCGAUACUGCCAUGCUAGAGUACUGAAGAGGUGACUAGAAUUCUAGGUGUAGCAGUGAAAUGCGUAGAUAUCUAGAGGAAUACCAAAGGCGAAGGCAGGUCACUGGGCAGUUACUGACACUGAGGCACGAAGGCCAGGGUAGCGAACGGGAUUAGAUACCCCGGUAGUCCUGGCAGUAAACGGUGCACGUUUGGUGUGGGAGGAUUCGACCCCUUCCGUGCCGGAGCUAACGCGUUAAGCGUGCCGCCUGGGAAGUACGGUCGCAAGAUUAAAACUCAAAGAAAUUGACGGGGACCCGCACAAGCGGUGGAGUAUGUGGCUUAAUUCGAUGCAACGCGAAGAACCUUACCU